rnacentral:rRNA from 1 species
CAAAUGAAUUGACGGGGGCCCGCACAAGCGGUGGAGCAUGUGGUUUAAUUCGAUGCAACGCGAAGAACCUUACCUGGUCUUGACAUCCACAGAACUUUCCAGAGAUGGAUUGGUGCCUUCGGGAACUGUGAGACAGGUGCUGCAUGGCUGUCGUCAGCUCGUGUUGUGAAAUGUUGGGUUAAGUCCCGCAACGAGCGCAACCCUUAUCCUUUGUUGCCAGCGGUCCGGCCGGGAACUCAAAGGAGACUGCCAGUGAUAAACUGGAGGAAGGUGGGGAUGACGUCAAGUCAUCAUGGCCCUUACGACCAGGGCUACACACGUGCUACAAUGGCGCAUACAAAGAGAAGCGACCUCGCGAGAGCAAGCGGACCUCAUAAAGUGCGUCGUAGUCCGGAUUGGAGUCUGCAACUCGACUCCAUGAAGUCGGAAUCGCUAGUAAUCGUGGAUCAGAAUGCCACGGUGAAUACGUUCCCGGGCCUUGUACACACCGCCCGUCACACCAUGGGAGUGGGUUGCAAAAGAAGUAGGUAGCUUAACCUUCGGG